GUGGAAUGGGGAGUGGUGAAUGUGGAACGGCGAUGAUAGAUCCCGAAAGAAGAUAACUGCUUGUUUUCUUCACCGCCACCAGUCUACCUGCUCUCUGCACACUCGGCAGAGCGCGGCAGGGCACCCCACGGAGCUGCACUAGUCACAUCCGGGCCCCACGCCGGUCGACGGCCGAUGCGAUGGAGGCACUACUCCGAGGCACUACUGGGAGGCCUGCGGCGCGGACGACGGAUGCGGCAGUUGGUCAAGACACGGCAGCCUACUCGAGGUGCUUCUCGCCUGGAGGACGCAGGCGAAUCGCGUUAUCCUAGCUGUGCCUCGUCAUGGUGCGAUGAGCCUUAAUAGACUAAUGCAUAUUCUUCCUUUGGUUGUAAUUCAUUUGCUGCUGCCCGCUGGG